UCUCUGGUGGUUCAGUGGUUAAAACUCUGUGCUUCUAACACAGGGGCACAAGUUUGAUCUCUGCUCUGGGAA
rnacentral:tRNA from 1 species